CAGGACGAACGCUGGCGGCGUGCUUCAUACAUGCAAGUCGAACGAGAAUCGGUAGCUUGCUACCGAGGAAAGUGGCGGACGGGUGAGUAAUGUGUAGAGAAUCUGCCCUUUAGUGGGGGACAACAGUUGGAAACGACUGCUAAUACCCCAUAUGCGCGUACUUGAGAUAGUAUUCGUGAAAACUCCGGUGCUAAAGGAUGAGUCUGCAUCUGAUUAGCUAGUUGGCGGUGUAAUGGACCACCAAGGCGACGAUCAGUAGCUGGUUUGAGAGGAUGAUCAGCCACAAUGGGACUGAGACACGGCCCAUACUCCUACGGGAGGCAGCAGUAGGGAAUUUUGCGCAAUGGGGGAAACCCUGACGCCAGCAACGCCGCGUGAUUGAAUAAGCCCUUCGGGGUGUAAAGAUCUGUCAGUGGGGACGAAACUUGACGGUACCCACAGAGGAAGCAUCGGCUAACUCCGUGCCAGCAGCCGC
rnacentral:rRNA from 1 species